GGGGGUUGUUUAAGCUUGUGGUUGCUUGCAUGGCCUUGUGCCAAGUGGGUGGCUGUUAGUUUGAUNNNGAUCUUCGGGGAUGUCUACCCUAAAGGUGCAUGAGUGGUGUUUGGUUUGUAACGGGUGGUUGGAUGUUUGCUUGAGCAGCAACUUCCAUGCGUUCUUACCUCUUCAGUUGUGUUACAAGGCGAAUUUGCCUUGAACAUUGUGGGUUCCUGUGUUGCAUACCUAAUUGAUGGCAUUAUGCGUUUCAACAAAGUUUGCUUUCGUUAAGCAUCGCUUGCGGUGCCUACGAACCUUGAAGCUGUCUUUGUGGUCCAUGUUGUCAAUGCGGAUGUGUCGAUGGCAUGGCCUAUGAAGUGUUGCUUGGUCUCUUGGAUAUGGAAGCUGGUGUGGGCACGUGGUCAGUCAUGAUCAUGUAUUUUGCCCUACAUGAGCGUUUCGCUUCUCUAGACGACUGUCUACCUUGCAUUGACUUGUUGGUGCAGGGUAGACUGAGUCGAAGAGGAAUGCUACCUGGUUG
rnacentral:misc_RNA from 1 species